AUAUAUAUAUGUUAGCUUACGUCAUCACCUUCACCGAUGGACCGAUGCGACGUGCUCACAUCUAUUUAGACUAGUUUUGUUUUAUAAGCAAAUCUGAAGUAUUUGUUUACAUUUAAUAAUCGGGGCAGUUCUUAAGAAAGAACCAGGCAGUCAAGCUUUAGAUGUCGAGGGUUAAAGUACGUUUGUUGUAAUAAAGCGUAUUAUUGUGAAUUUAGUGUUUUAAUCAAACUAAAAAGACAGAUUAACAGUCGCUAAUCUAUCAUCAGAAGUGGGAUAAAGGAUAUCUUCUCGUGAAUUAUUUCCGGAAGAAAGGACCUAAAAAAAUUAUUUUUUUUUUUUUUUGUGUUUCUUUGUGAACGAACAGACAAUAGUGAAAAACACAAACGCGCAGUGAUUCCGAACGUUGUGAACAUUACCAAAAGUGCAUCGGAGAGAGAUUAGUAGCAAGAAAGUAACAACAGAUUCCAAAAACAAAACAUGGAAAUUUUAUCGACAAUGACCAACGCCCAAACUACUCAAGCAACAUUGAAGAUGACUGCGCAGAACGUUUAAGUGUGGCUGCAGCGCAGUUUCGACUUGUAAGAUUUAGAAAUUGCAUUUGAGGAAUAUGAUUUGAAUUUGUCAGGAAUGGACGAGUGGGUUACGAAAGAAAUAAAAGAACAACCGAAUGCUGUUUGAUCUCAUAAACUCUCCAUCAAAUUAUCAGAGCGCCAUCGUUAAAGCCCUUGGACCACUUAAAGACGAUAUUACGUUUGUUUAUGUUGAUGAUGUGUUGUGCCCUGCUCGACCCAUUCAAGAAUGUCUUAAGAACUUAAGAAAGGACAUUGACGCCCUUAAAUAUACAAAAAUGUAACUUUUUCCAAACAUCUGUGAAAUAUUUAGGUGUGAUCGAAAAAGAACUGGCUGGAUAUUUCAGACAUCUUGUGAAAAACUUUACAACUUUAACAGCACCGAUAUCUGCAUUGUUACGUGAGGGAAAAUCUUUUGAAUGGACAUGUAAAUGUGAAAAUGUACGAUUGACUUCUUAUCCGAUUUUCAACAUUUUUGAUCUGGAAUUGUCAACCGAACUACAUACAGAAGCAAGUUCGUUAGGAUUAGAUGUCGCUAUUAGCUGUCGAAUAGAGGAAAGUUGAAACCAAAGUAUCACGGACCCUUUGAGGUAACGCAUUGUUUACCUAAUGAGAGGUACGCACUCCGAAGGAUUGGCAGCCGAGGUAGAACUACAAUAGCAGCGCAUGAACAGUUACGAACCUGGCCAGAUACAGAAAUUCUAUAAGAUUACCGGUGUCAGGUGAAUCUUUGCAAAACUGUGGAAGGGUCGAGGACGCCCCACAUGUCAGGAAGGCCGUGUUAGCUUACGUCAUCACCUUCACCGAUGGACCGAUGCGACGUGCUCACAUCUAUUUAGACUAGUUUUGUUUUAUAAGCAAAUCUGAAGUAUUUGUUUACAUUUAAUAAUCGGGGCAGUUCUUAAGAAAGAACCAGGCAGUCAAGCUUUAGAUGUCGAGGGUUAAAGUACGUUUGUUGUAAUAAAGCGUAUUAUUGUGAA